UAGAGACAGUGGGUGCAUGGUUGUCGUCAGCUCGUGUCGUGAGAUGUUGGGUUAAGUCCCGCAACGAGCGCAACCCUUAUUGCUAGUUACCAUCAUUGAGUUGGGGACGUCUAGCGAGACUGCCAGCGAUAAGCUGGAGGAAGGUGGGGAUGACGUCAAAUCAUCAUGCCCCUUAUGACCUGGGCUACAAACGUGAUACAAUGGCUGGAACAAAGGGAGGCGAAGGGGUGGACCUGGAGCGAAACCCAAAAAUACAGUCUCAGUUCGGAUUGAAGUCUGCAACUCGACUUCAUGAAGUCGGAAUCGCUAGUAAUCGCGGAUCAGAACGCCGCGGUGAAUACGUUCUCGGGGUUU
rnacentral:rRNA from 1 species